rnacentral:misc_RNA from 1 species
UUAGCACUAGGUCGCUACCGUUAUGUUACAGCCGUCACAGGCCUCUUUUCGUUACCCGCGACUAUGACUGUGGAUGCGACGACGAUUGCGAUUGAAACCAUGAUGUUGGUGGAAGAAAGGAAUAUUUAUUAUAUUUGGAGGAUAAGAGCAUAAAAGGUCAAGGAAACUCUAAAGAGGAUGAAGUUUGAUAAAACAUGUGGAAUCGGAUUGAAUUCCUAUUGAACUUUGGAAGUAUUUAAUGGAGCAAGGAGCGGUGUUAUUGACUAGGUUGUUUAAUAAAAUUCUAAUAUUUAAGAAAAUUGCGGAGUGAAUGAGAAGCACCCUUGUUCAGUUGUUCCUAUAUUUACAAACAAGAGAGUUAUCCAAAUUUGCUUAAACUAUGGAGUUAUCAAGCUCAUGAGUUAUGCAGUGAAGCAUUAAAAGUGUGAUGGAAUGCAAAAUGGAAAGUAACACAAGUAUCGCUAGAAACCAGUUUGGUCUAAUGCUAGGAAAGAUGUAGCAUGGAGAAUUUUUCCCAUAUAAGGUUGAUAGAGGAAUUUUGAGAGAAAAGGAAAGAUUUCCAUAUGAUAUUUAUCAAUUUAUUUAAGGCAUAUGGUAGAGUUUUGAGAGAUACUUGUAGUGGGUUUUGAAAUGGGAAGGACUACAUUAGAAUACAUAAAGGUGUUGAAAGAUACAUAUAUUCGGAAAGCACUAGGAUUCAAAGUUUAGGGAUGACACAAAAGAUUUUCUUACAACAGUUGGUUUACACCAAGGAUUGGUCUUGAGCCCUUUCUUUUUGCGUUGGUCAGGGAUGAGUUAAAAAAUAGCACAACCAAGAAGAUAUUCCUUGAUGUAUGAUGUUUGUAGAUUUUAAUGAAUAAAGCAAUUAUUCAUAAUCACACGUUGAAGUUAUAGAGGAGUUUAAAAGAGUUUGAACAAGAAUUUAAAGAACUAAAAUAGUGAAUGUGGAUUAGAAUUUUAUCAAGGCAAGGAAAAGUGAUGGAAAUGGGGUUAGAAUAGACAACAUAAGGUCCCAGAAAGCACACACUUUAGGUAACUAGCCUCCAGGGGAGAUUCAAAAAAUUUGGUCAGAUAGGGGCAAUAUGUUAUGUAAUAUCUACACAUAAGCAUAUAUAUGUAGAGACAUUAUACACAUGUACUCAAACACAAAUAAAUAUGAAAAAUAUUAAGAACAAAAGUAAUAAAACUUACUAGAAUUUAUAUAUAUAUAUUUUUAUAAAUUGUUGAAUUUUCAUUUUUCUUAACAAAUUUUCAAUUUUUUUUUAUUCCAUCAUGCAUACGUAUGUUACCUAAUGAGCCGUUCAAUGUCUUUGUAGUUAACUAUUUCAAUUUUCACAUGAGAGUAAAUUUAAUGGUAAUGCAUUUUUCUUUAGAGAGUUCUUUUGUUAGAAAUAUAGUUGAGAAAAAGAAAACUAAUAUAUAAUAUAUUUAAAGGUUUUAUAAUAUGCAUAGAGAGAGCCUUUUUUUAAAUAUUUUUUAAGGACAGGAAUUGUUACUAAUGAGACAAUGUUAUCAAGGUGAAAGACGAUACUAAGGUAACUGAGUACCCUAUGGUCUUUGGCGAGAGCCGAGGUAAGAGCCUUUUUGGGAGAAGAGGCAUUAUAUCCUAAAUUGCAUAAAACACACACACACACACACACGAAGUUCGAACAAAUCCAAAACUGGAGCAGCCUUCACAGUUUGUGCUCUGAUUUCUAGUGCAGUAUAAAUUGAAGGAAAUCCCAAAAAGAAGAAUUGAACAAAAUCUAAGCAUGAAAUCUUACCGGUUAAUGAAAAACCCUUGAAAGAGCAGAUCUAGAGAUUUCAAAU